AAAUGAAUUGACGGGGGCCCGCACAAGCAGUGGAGUAUGUGGUUUAAUUCGAAGCAACGCGAAGAACCUUACCAGGGCUUGACAUAUACAGGAAUAUAUAAGAGAUUAUAUAGCUCUUCGGAGCCUGUAUACAGGUGGUGCAUGGUUGUCGUCAGCUCGUGUCGUGAGAUGUUGGGUUAAGUCCCGCAACGAGCGCAACCCCUGUUUCUAGUUGCCAGCACGUAAUGGUGGGAACUCUAGAGAGACUGCCGGUGAUAAAUCGGAGGAAGGUGGGGACGACGUCAAAUCAUCAUGCCCUUUAUGUCCUGGGCUACACACGUACUACAAUGGCUAUAACAAAGAGAAGCGAAGCAGUGAUGUGAAGCGAAACUCAUAAAAAUAGUCUCAGUUCGGAUUGAAGGCUGAAAUUCGCCUUCAUGAAGCCGGAAUUGCUAGUAAUGGCAGGUCAGCAUACUGCCGUGAAUACGUUCCCGGGCCUUGUACACACCGCCCGU
rnacentral:rRNA from 1 species